GUGCCUCCCAUGCCACAUUCAGCCCCGGAUGGCCGCCAGUGGUGUACAGGAUAACAUGAUGGAAGCCUGCAGGCCUGCGGAGAUAAAGCCCAGCUGGUCACCUCCCUGUCCUCUUGACCUCCUGCCACUGGGACUGAGAUCGAUGGGGGCCAGGCCGUCUUCAUCUUUGUCACCUGAGUUCUUCGUGCAGUCACUGGAUAAAUUAAUAUUUAUUUGGGUGCCACGUGCAUAGGCUGUAUACCGAGCACUUCAGGCUGUUUCUAAUACUAAAUGGCCACACCCAGUAUGUCAGCUACUGGACCGUGUGCAGAGAUACUGUAACCGGCAAUGUGAUCUGGAGCACCGUGAACAGUACAGGUUAACCAAUGUGCAAGAACUCCACACCCCACAAGACUGGCAAGAACCCUAGAAAGCUGCCCUGCCCAUGGCCUAGCAGGUAGAGCAUGUACUCUCGAGUGUGAACUCACACCUCCCCAUUCUUUGAUCAAAAAUAAAACUUUCCUUUGCUUUUGAACUGAA